UACGGAGGGUGCAAGCGUUGUUCGGAAUUACUGGGCGUAAAGCGCGCGUAGGCGGUUUGUUAAGUCAGAUGUGAAAGCCCAUGGCUCAACCAUGGACGUGCAUUUGAAACUGGCAGACUUGAGUAUUGGAGGGGGUGGUGGAAUUCCCGGUGUAGAGGUGAAAUUCGUAGAUAUCGUGAGGAACACCAGAGGCGAAGGCGACUACCUGGACAAUUACUGACGCUCAGGC
rnacentral:rRNA from 1 species